CGGGGGGAGCAAGCGUUGUUCGGAUUUACUGGGCGUAAAGGGCGCGUAGGCGGCGCCGCAAGUCGACUGUGAAAUCUCCGGGCUUAACCCGGAAAGGUCAGCCGAUACUGCGGGGCUAGAGUGCAGAAGGGGCAACUGGAAUUCUCGGUGUAGCGGUGAAAUGCGUAGAUAUCGAGAGGAACACCUGCGGCGAAGGCGGGUUGCUGGGCUGACACUGACGCUGAUGCGCGAAAGCUAGGGGAGCGAACGGGAUUAGAUACCCCGGUAGUCCUAGCCUUAAACGAUGAAUGCUUGGUGUCUGGGGUUUUAUAGUCCCCGGGUGCCGUCGCUAACGCUUUAAGCAUUCCGCCUGGGGAGUACGGUCGCAAGACUG
rnacentral:rRNA from 1 species